GGAAGUAAAAGUCGUAACAAGGUUUCCGUAGGUGAACCUGCGGAAGGAUCAUUAUUGUAUAACCGAGGUGCGAGGGCUGUCGCUGACCCGAAAGGUCGUGCACGCCCGAGUGCCCUCACACACAUCCAUCUCACCCCUAUGUGCACCACCGCGUGGGUCCCCCUUUGGCUUGUUCGGAGGGGGGCUUACGUUUUCACACAAACUUUGUAUGCAGUGUAGAAUGUAUUUUUUGUUUUUGCGAUCACGCAACCAAUACAACUUUCAACAACGGAUCUCUUGGCUCUC
rnacentral:misc_RNA from 1 species